CUCUGUGACUCCUACGGGAGGCAGCAGUGGGGAAUAUUGCACAAUGGGCGCAAGCCUGAUGCAGCCAUGCCGCGUGUGUGAAGAAGGCCUUCGGGUUGUAAAGCACUUUCAGUUGUGAGGAAGGUGGUGUCGUUAAUAGCAGCAUCAUUUGACGUUAGCAACAGAAGAAGCACCGGCUAACUCCGUGCCAGCAGCCGCGGUAAUACGGAGGGUGCGAGCGUUAAUCGGAAUUACUGGGCGUAAAGCGCAUGCAGGUGGUUUGUUAAGUCAGAUGUGAAAGCCCCGGGGCUCAACCUCGGAACUGCAUUUGAAACUGGCAGACUAGAGUACUGUAGAGGGGGUAGAAUUUCAGGUGUAGCGGUGAAAUGCGUAGAGAUCUGAAGGAAUACCGGUGGCGAAGGCGGCCCCCCUGGACAGAUACUGACACUCAGAUGCGAAAGCGUGGGGAGCAAACAGGUUUAGAUACCCUGGUAG
rnacentral:rRNA from 1 species